GGGGCGCAUUUAUUAGAUAAAAGGCUGACGUGGGCUCUGCUCGCUGAUCCGAUGAUUCAUGAUAACUCGACGGAUCGCAUGGCCUUUGUGCCGGCGACGCAUCAUGCCAAUUUCUGCCCUAUCAACUUUCGAUGGUAGGAUAGGGGCCUACCAUGGUGGUGACGGGUGACGGAGAAUUAGGGUUCGAUUCCGGAGAGGGAGCCUGAGAAACGGCUACCACAUCCAAGGAAGGCAGCAGGGGCG
rnacentral:ncRNA from 1 species